GCUGGGGACAUAGCUCAGUUGGUAGAGGGCUUGCCUUGCAUGCACAAGGCCCUGGGUUCGACCCCCAGCAGCA
rnacentral:tRNA from 1 species